rnacentral:rRNA from 1 species
UGGGGAAUAUUGCGCAAUGGAGGAAACUCUGACGCAGCAACGCCGCGUGUGUGAAGAAGGCUUUCGGGUCGUAAAGCACUGUUGAGUAGGAAGAGACGGUUUCGGUUAAUAUCCGAGACCCCGACGGUACUACUCGAGGAAGCACCGGCUAACUCCGUGCCAGCAGCCGCGGCAAUACGGAGGGUGCAAGCGUUGUUCGGAAUUAUUGGGCGUAAAGGGCAUGUAGGCGGGUCAUUAAGUCUGAUGUGAAAUCCCUCGGCUCAACCGAGGACGUGCAUUGGAAACUGAUGAUCUUGAGUCCUGGAGAGGAAGGCGGAAUUCCCAGUGUAGAGGUGAAAUUCGUAGAUAUUGGGAGGAACACCAGCGGCGAAGGCGGCCUUCUGGACAGUGACUGACGCUAAGGUGCGAAAGCGUGGGUAGCAAACAGG